UACAGAGGUCCCGAGCGUUGUUCGGAUUCACUGGGCGUAAAGGGUGCGUAGGUGGCUGGGAAAGUUUGAUGUGAAAGCUCAGGGCUUAACCCUGAAAUGGCAUUGAAUACUGCCUGGCUGGAGGUUUGGAGGGGGGACUGGAAUUCUUGGUGUAGCAGCGAAAUGCGUAGAUAUCAAGAGGAACACCAGUGGCGAAGGCGAGUCCCUGGACAACACCUGACACUGAGGCACGAAAGCCGGGGGAGCAAACAGG
rnacentral:rRNA from 1 species